UGGGGGAUAUUGCACAAUGGGGGGAACCCUGAUGCAGCGACGCCGCGUGGGUGAAGAAGCGCCUCGGCGCGUAAAGCCCUGUCAGCAGGGAAGAAAAUGACGGUACCUGAAGAAGAAGCCCCGGNUAACUACGUGCC
rnacentral:rRNA from 1 species